rnacentral:rRNA from 1 species
GACGAACGCUGGCGGCGUGCUUAACACAUGCAAGUCGAACGGAAAGGCCUCUUUCGGGGGGUACUCGAGUGGCGAACGGGUGAGUAACACGUGAGUAACCUGCCCUUGACUUUGGGAUAACUUCAGGAAACUGGGGCUAAUACCGGAUAGGAGCUCCUGCUGCAUGGUGGGGGUUGGAAAGUUUCGGCGGUUGGGGAUGGACUCGCGGCUUAUCAGCUUGUUUGUGGGGUAGUGGCUUACCAAGGCUUUGACGGGUAGCCGGCCUGAGAGGGUGACCGGCCACAAUGGGACUGAGAUAAGGCCCAGGCUGCUACUGGGGGCAGCAGUGAGGAAUAUUGCACAAGGGGUGGCAGCCUGAUGCAGCAGGGCCGUGUACGGGAAGACGGCGUUCGGGUUGUAAACCGAUUUCGCACGUGACGAAGCAUUGUGUGACGGUAGUGGGUAAGAAAGCACCGGCUAACUACGUG